GCUACACAUGCAGUCGAGCGAGGCAUAGCAAUAUGUCAGCGGCAGACGGGUGAGUAACGCGUGGGAACGUACCUUUUGGUUCGGAACAACACAGGGAAACUUGUGCUAAUACCGGAUAAGCCCUUACGGGGAAAGAUUUAUCGCCGAAAGAUCGGCCCGCGUCUGAUUAGCUAGUUGGUGAGGUAAUGGCUCACCAAGGCGACGAUCAGUAGCUGGUCUGAGAGGAUGAUCAGCCACAUUGGGACUGAGACACGGCCCAAACUCCUACGGGAGGCAGCAGUGGGGAAUAUUGGACAAUGGGCGCAAGCCUGAUCCAGCCAUGCCGCGUGAGUGAUGAAGGCCCUAGGGUUGUAAAGCUCUUUUGUGCGGGAAGAUAAUGACGGUACCGCAAGAAUAAGCCCCGGCUAACUUCGUGCCAGCAGCCGCGGUAAUACGAAGGG
rnacentral:rRNA from 1 species